AAACUUUCAACAACGGAUCUCUUGGUUCCCGCAUCGAUGAAGAACGCAGCGAAAUGCGAAAAUUAAUGUGAAUUGCAGAAUUCCGUGAAUCAUCGAGUCUUUGAACGCACAUUGCGCCCUUUGGUAUUCCGAAGGGCAUGCCUGUUCGAGCGUCAUU
rnacentral:rRNA from 2 species